rnacentral:rRNA from 1 species
AGUGGCGAACGGGUGAGUAACGCGUGAGGAACCUGCCUCAAAGAGGGGGACAACAGUUGGAAACGACUGCUAAUACCGCAUAAGCCCACGGGUCGGCAUCGACCAGAGGGAAAAGGAGCAAUCCGCUUUGAGAUGGCCUCGCGUCCGAUUAGCUAGUUGGUGAGGUAAUGGCCCACCAAGGCAACGAUCGGUAGCCGGACUGAGAGGUUGAACGGCCACAUUGGGACUGAGACACGGCCCAGACUCCUACGGGAGGCAGCAUG